GGCAGCAGCUAAGAAUAUUCCGCAAUGGACGAAAGUCUGACGGAGCGACGCCGCGUGGAUGAUGAAGGCCGGAAGGUUGUAAAAUCCUUUUAUGACUGAGGAAUAAGGUGGAUGAGAGAAACGUCCGCUGGUGACUGUAGGUCAUGAAUAAGCAACGGCUAAUUACGUGCCAGCAGCCGCGGUAACACGUAAGUUGCGAGCGUUGUUCGGAAUUAUUGGGCGUAAAGGGCAUGUAGGCGGUUAUGCAAGUCUGGUGUGAAAUGCCGGGGCUUAACCCCGGAACUGCGUUGGAAACUGCAUGACUUGAGUCGCUGAGGGGCAGCCAGAAUUCCAGGUGUAGGGGUGAAAUCUGUAGAUAUCUGGAAGAAUACCAAUGGCGAAGGCAGGCUGCCUGCAGAUGACUGACGCUGAGGUGCGAAGGUGCGGGGAGCAAACAGGAUUAGAUACCCUGGUAGUCCGCACAGUCAACUAUGUACACUGGGUGUCCGUGCAUGAGCAUGGGUGCCGAAGCAAACGCGAUAAGUGUACCGCCUGGGGAGUAUGCCCGCAAGGGUGAAACUCAAAGGAAUUGACGG
rnacentral:rRNA from 1 species